CCCUCCUGCCAGGUGGGAUGUGGAGGGCCAGGCUGGGAAGCUGCAGGGCAGCGUCUUUUAUCUGAGGAGCUCAAAGCAUUUCACAAACCCUAAGGAAUGACACCUCAACCCACGUCUGCAGAGUUUUAAGCCCCUAGUUCCAUCCAGGGGAGAGAGGAAAUUGGCACCCUUGUGAAGCAGGGCAGUGCUAGUCUCUCCAUUAUACAGAUGGGGAAACUGAGGCACAGAGACUUACCCAAGAUGACAAGGAGGCUGUGGCAGAGCAAGGAACUGACCCCACAUGUUGCAACCACUACACCAUCCUUCCUACCACAUUUUCUUCAGAAGCAGAAGAGACAGGCUGUGGUGGUGCAGACAGGGGAGCGAAUUCCUGAUUCUACAGUCUGCCACUCGCCUUGGAUGCUGUGAUGGGUAAUGGGAAGAGCGGCAGGUCUCUGGGACAGCCAGGCCCAUAUAGGGGUUUUAAAGGCCAAGGCUAACAGCUGGCUGUGAAGAAGAAGCCAGUGCAGCUGUUGCAGAAUGGAGGUGAUGCAACCUCUUUGGCUAACAGGUGGGCAGUUGUGUUCUGCCCCACACUGCACCUGGGACCUAAGAAGGAACAGUCACUAAUGCUGCCCCUGAGAAAAUCCAGUGCCAGCUGGGAGUCAGGAUGCGGGAAUCCCAAGGGAGCCCCUCACAUUGUGAACUAAGGGGAGGGCAGGCAGGCACCCUCCCUAACAGGCAUGGAGAACGAACCCUGCACCGCUCUCAAAAUCCUUCCCUCAACCUGCCUGCACCAGUCGUUUCCUGGCCGGGUUGAGCUUUUGCUGAUGCCUUGUUGAAAGAGGAAUAAAUGGCUCUGUCAGCGAACUGCCAAACUGACAGCCAGAAAGAAGAGCUCUGAGCCCCGUGCAGCUCCAGGAGGGCAAGCGGAGUCCAGCAGAGCAGGGGCUGCUACCACUCCACUGAGUAUCGAUUCCUCGCUGUAGUGAAAUGAUUGACAAAGCUCCCUGAUCCCCAACAUCCCCUUUAGGGUACAGCAUUGCAGACAGUGAAAAGGCAACAGUACUAAGGAGCAAUCAUCAUUAAAGCAUGCUAAAAGCCAGCCACAUGCGGUCUUGGCUGGGCCAGGGGCCACCACUAGACAUAUCAGAGAAAAGUGGAAGAAAUACCAUAAACUGUCCCUCAUCCUUAGCUCUUGACAACAGGACACCUCAAAGCACAUUGCAAAGGAAGCCUGGUACCAUUAUCCCCCAGUAAAGAUGGGGAAACUGAGGCACAUGGGGAAAGCGACUUGCUCAGUGUCACGCAGCAUGUUAAUGGCAGAGCUGGGAACAGAAAUCAGCAACCCUGACACCUGCCUCUCUCCCCCAGCACACUUAAAUUCUCUAUCCAUUAGACUAUACUACCUUAGUGUACAGAAAAUAUG